rnacentral:lncRNA from 1 species
AGAAGAAGAGAAAGACAGCCGCCAGAACCAUUUUCUUUCCCUUAAACCUAGGAGCAUAGUGCUAUAAAAUCAAUCGCAACACUCAUCAUUUAGAUCUCCUUGUACAACGCUCAAUAGUUUAUUUUCUUAGCUAUUGAAAACCCCAAAAUCGACCAUUAUCACCACUAGCCAGUCAUCGAGUUUGAGGUCCUGAUAGUUCCGAUCUGAACAAAAAUAAUUUUAUUUAGUAAGGUUUCCCGUUGAGGAUUCCGAUCUAAAUAAAAAUGAUUUUAUUCAGUAAGGUUUUUCGUUGAGGAUUUCGAUCUGAGCCUCUAAAGGACUUGGAGAUUGUUGUUGCACUGUACGAGA